CAACAAAUGCAUUUCUAUAUGUGUCUCGGGAGCGUGCUUUGUGACCUCUACAAAGGAUAGUUCACAUUCUAUCAGCUGCCACUCCCAGGACGGUGACAGCUCACCUGGAGGCAUUAGGCGAUGUUCUAGAAGAGGGACAUCCAUCUCUUCGCUAAGUUCUCUC
rnacentral:lncRNA from 1 species